rnacentral:rRNA from 1 species
AUUGAACGCUGGCGGCAGGCCUAACACAUGCAAGUCGAACGAGUGGCGGACGGGUGAGUAAUGUCUGGGAAACUGCCCGAUGGAGGGGGAUAACUACUGGAAACGGUAGCUAAUACCGCAUACCAUCGGAUGAGCCCAGAUGGGAUUAGCUGGUAGGUGGGGUAACGGAUCACCUAGGCGACGAUCCCUAGCUGGUCUGCGAGGAUGACAAGCCACACGGGAGCUGAGACACGGUCCAGACUCCUACGGUAGGCAGCAGUGGCGAAUAUUGCACAAUGGGCGCAAGCAUGAUGCAGCCAUGCCGCGUGUAUGAAGAAGGCCUUCGGGUUGUAAAGUACUUUCAGCGAGGAGGCGUUACGCGCAGAAGAAGCACCGGCUAACUCCGUGCCAGCAGCCGCGGUAAUUC